rnacentral:sRNA from 1 species
CUUUUUGAUAUGAGGUCAUGCACUGUAAGCUGGUCUUGAGCUCUGGAUCUCCCUGCUUCUACUUUGCAAGUGUUAAAGUCAUGGGCAUGUGUCGCCAUAUUUGGCUUUGAAUUACUUUAGAAACGCCUGAUGGACCUAAGCUGACAGGGAGAAGACCUGAAUGUAGAGAAUUGAAUUCUGUGAAAAGGAUAGAGGUAACUUUAAUUAAAUGGGUCCCUUGCAGUGUUAUAAUUCCUUUCUAGAGUGGAAAGCUUUAGUCCUAAGGUUGAGAACAAACUCUGAUGUCUAAGUUUCCCUUAGGGAGCCCAGAUAAGGAUGUAAUCUAUUCUGUGGGCCUUGCCCUCUCUCCCCCUUUGGCCCGUGAUUCUUAGCAUUGCAGAAAUAUUACUCCCUGAAAUAGACUGACCUUUAAAAAAGUAACCAAAAUCACACAUUCCAGCUGAGGACAAUGAACUCGAUGUUUUUAAAAAAGUGUAAGUUUCUGUGCCAACAUAAUGAACUUGUUGGCUACUCCCCUGUUCUCUCAGUUUUCAGAUAAACAAAAACAUGACUUUCAAACAUUGCUUGAAUUAAAAACACUUUGUGGGGCUUUUUCUUUUCCUUUCUACCUUAGUCAAAUAUUAGUGAAGGUUUAUGAAGUAUACAGAUAAGGAUCACCCAAAUUUCAUUUUUUUUUUACCUUAGAAUCAUGACAAUGUCACCAAAGAUGGUAAGUACCCUUGGUAAAACGUAACGUCUAUGGGGAUAAAUGCAGAAAUAAAAAACACAAAGUCCUUUGCUGUGAGUUAGAGUCACCAAUUUCUUACAAAUACCAACAGUGCCUCACUAUUUACUGAAUACGGUGGUUAUUUUAUAUUAGCAGCUCAGGAAAAUGGGGUGGGUAUUAGUUAUUAUCGUUCCACUGUCUAUACCACAUAAAUACAUAAUAAGAAUCAGAAAAAUAAUAGAGUCUGAGUUACCAAAGGACAAAGAUUCAGGAGAGCUACAUGAUCUCGCAGACACUCUCCUGGCCACCAUCAGAACUUGUUUUAGUAAGCAGGCAAGCCAAGAUUUAAACCAUACCAGCCCUUAAAACAAAAUUCAGCCAGUACACUCCAGUCAUGGGUCAAUAUUCUAAAAUCUUGGCAGGGCUAACAUUAUUUACUCUGCAUGGGAGUCUAUGAUGUAAGCUCCGUCAGAGGUAAACAACCAAAGAGCAUGAUACACAAACAUGAGAAAAUUGCCUGGAAUCUUAGGAUAACUGAACAAAGUCCCGAGUAAUUUGACACCAGAGUUUAUGUUCCUACAUACCGGAAGACAUUUUCUCCACCCUGUUAGCUUCCGUCUCUCAUCUCAACAGUCUCCUGUGGAAGACAGACUUCUGGCUGGCCUUGGAGCUCACCAUGCAGACCAAGACAUCUGCUUCCUGUGUCUAAAGAAACAGAAACACAACCUCCUCACUUCUGGUGAGAGCAUCCCCAGAGAAGUCAGCAGCUCCUGCUGAGUCAGGUGGACAUUGAGCUGAGUCUUAAGAAGCAAAAUCCUGGGACCCUUCCCACCCACCCCACUUAUGACUCAGGCGAGAGUGAAUUGCUGACCUGUCUUGGAUGCCCCUGUGAAGGAAGUCUCUGGAGAAGGUCUGUACCGUGAUCCAGGAAUCUCAAGAGACGGGGCAAAGACUGCAAAUGAGUCUCCCAGAGAAGCAGCAGAGUCUGGGAGCCAACGGAAACACCUGUGAGCAAAGCUACCCACAGCUGUCUCCUCUCAGGUCCUCCAGAUUUAGAGGAAGGAAAGAGGAAGCCCUGGGGGUUGCAGUUGACUACCAGGAACUUAGAAGCACAGGCUGUGUCCCAACUCUGUUGUAGGGAAGGCCUAGGCAAGUUGCUGUUUUUCACCCUGCAGGCUGGUCUCUUUAGUGGUAAGAUAAAGUAGCAUGGACCCGUGACCAUCAGGAGAACUCAGCAUUCUGUGACUUGGGGAGAUCUGUAAGGAGGACACUGCCUCUAAUGCUAUUUCUUCCAACCAUCCUCAACCCAGGCUAUACAUUUCCCAGAAGUCUUCUGUCCUGCAGCCUUGGGAAUGGUGCGUGCUUCUAAGCACAGGGAGAGUGGAGGUAAUGGUGCAUUGUGCUUCUGCUCUGCUCACAGAAACACCAAGCUGGAGGACAUUGCAGAAAAGGAUAUGCUCUGGAACAGAUACCCUGAGACACCUCUGUCCAUUGGCUAACAAGUAAUACUUUCUCUUGCAUCAAAGAAUAAGGAAAGUGAAGAAAAACCAAAACGAAACUCAAAUUGUUACAAUAAUUGGCAGAUUUUGAGGGUAUGAUAGACAAGGCUUAAUGUUUAAUGGCUUCUUCCAAAUGAGAAGAUUUGGUUGUUGGUCACUCCCCAGUCUCUGGCAAAAUACUUUGCCACCAAACUAUUAGGAUAAGAAUCAUAAAGAAAGGAAUGAGAAGGUGUGUGAUUCCCACUCAUGCAAGAGUCCUGGGGUCCAGAUAUCAUAAUAGCUUCUUAUCCACACCACAGUCUCAAUCACCUGCCCACUUAACAGCCUCUAAAUGCCAAGGGGAAAAGUAAAACCAAUGGCGGAUGGUCAGAGGGGAAAGGAUCUUCAGAAAUUCUUGAGAGGUGGAGAAAGGGGAGGGAUGAAAGGAAAUUCCCACAGGAAAAAAUGCUCCACUUGGAAUGGAUGGGCCAAGUAAUCUCGUGCCCUGUGGAGACCCUCACACCAAGUGACCCUUGUCACUUCCCCCUUUGCGAUUCCCACCAUGCCUUUCUUGUGUGGCUCUGCAGUACCUCUUAGCUUGUAUACCCUCCAUUCUGUUUCUGAGCAAUAACUUUAUAAAGCAGACUGUAUAUAUAGUCUGUGUACUGUUCUCACUACUGUGCCAACUACGGGCAGAACUUCACUCUGUUUCCUUUGAGCUCUUCAGAAGAAAAAGGAUAUAAUAGUGGCAGACUAUGUAUCCAGAGAUCAUGCACCAGCAGCUGAAUGUUCUGGUGUGAAACGAGGCUGAGAAGAAGUUGUGGAAGGCUGAGAAGAAGCUUAGUCUGGUCAUAUGAACUAUAUGUAUAUCCUGUGUGAGGAUUUCCUAUAUUUCUAAAUCAGCAGCUGUCCACAUCUGGCAUCACCAAGAUUUUCUUGAUUUGUCACCGCCUAGUCUUCUAGAAGAUGACGGAUUCUGCCAAUUCUAAUGAUGCCCCUCAUUUUUUCUAUCUUCGCUUUAGAAAAAAAAUGACAAAUGGCUUUUGUUAACUCUACUUUAGCCAGAAAAUCCAUUGCACGAAUUAAUGUCAUUCCACUGUGUCUCCAUAAUGCUCCAGUCUGAUUUCACGUCACCAAGAUGUCACUCUUUGGUCCUUAGCUUCUUUCCUUCAGAGCUACCAUCUCUGUUUGAUCGGUCACCUUCUGUCCAUGGUUGCUUUCAGACUCCACAGAGGGGUGAGGCAAAGAAUUAAAUGAGUUUCCCAUUAGCUUCCCAUUCUCUAAACUGUCUAACUUUACCUCGCUCCCAAGAGAGACUUAAACCAAACAACCGGGCUGUGAUUCAGCCUCUAACCUCAUGUUUUGUGACAUUAUGACUGCCCGAGACACUGUACACUCAUUUUUUUCUAUUCUUAACAUAAAUACUAAACUGUUGCUUAGAUCUGGGCCCGCAUCCAACCAUUGAUAGAUAAAGAAGUUACUUGAAAGAUAUGUGAGUCAACCUCUAGUAGAAGAUGAUAACAUUAUUUCUCAGCAUGUAAGUCAUAUCCCCUUCCCACCAGCUACAAUUAUAUUAAUAAUCUCUGGUAAGUGAGAUAACUUAUAACGCUCAGCUUACUUCAAGAAAAAAAAAUAGUAGAUAUGCCUACAGUAAAAUAAUAUGUUUUGGAGUAGCAAUACCUUUGAAAUUAUAAUGGAACAUUGUCCAUGGAAAGCUACAGUCAUGUGAGUGAAUUUCUUUAAUCUUUACUUACAUUUAUUCCCCCUUUAUGUCACCACUUGAUCCCUAGGGCCACCUCACAGUGACCUACUAUCACUUACAAAACCAGAUAUGAUCUGGUAUCUGUCUAUAUCUGCAACAUCGUCUGCUGUUCUUCAGCUCUUGGUCAUAUUUUUAACAUGGUGACUUGACCUAAAAUAUAAAAUGCCCUUCCCUACCACAAUCCCUAACAACCUUCACACAUGGUCUUGCUUUCACCCAGAGGACUCUACAUCCUCCUGAAAUUUUAAGAUAUCGUUGACUCAAUAAGAUGCCUUAUUUCUUCAAAGAAGCUCCUCUCGGACCACAGGUGGACUCACAGGUUAACGCACAUCUCUAGCCUUGUCUCCCUGUACUGAACUGAUUAUUUCUUAAGAGACUUACCCCAUCUUUUCCAGAGAAGUAUCCACCCACUUUUAGAUUUCAUGUCUUAUUUAGGUGGGGCUCUAUGUGAUACAGUUAUUGGCAUAGAGAUGCUUUCAUGACUCAAUCAUACCUUGUUUGUGAAUGCUGGAAUGAAGAUUUCACAGUCUUUUCUUUCCACCUUAGAGAUGAGACCUAAAAUCUGGGUCUAUCAAGUCUCCUGAAGCUUUCUGAAAAUAGUGAAUACCCCAUAGUACAGAGCAAUGAUGUGGAGAAAGAGAACCCAUAGCCAGACAACAGUGUGGUUCACUGCCACUGCCUGAUGAGGCCAAGGACAUCAACUUGUUAUGGGUGUAAGCGAGCAAAGGUCUCCUUUUUUAAAAUUUAACUUAAUGCAGUUUGGUUUUCUUCCCACUGCACAAGUCCGUGUGAGGGUCUGUAUUUUCUUGCAUUUGGCAAGUACCCUGGGGUAAGCAUUUGUUCAAUUUAUGUCUUGUGCUCCAGAAUGUCUCACUGACUCUCCCAUUUCUAGGGCAGUGUAAACACAUUGUAAAGUGUCACUGAACACUUCUGAGUAAAGGCAAGGUGAAGGGAUGGGUUACUCUGAGAUUCCAAUAGCCAACAAGUGUUUCCAUUCCAACGGCCUGGCUAAGUAUGAGUCUUGUUCUGCAACUUGUGGUGGAUGUGAUGCUCUGUCUUUGGAAGGGUUGACAUUUUCAAUUUUGCUGCACUCGCUCACCUCAAGAUGUGUAACAUAUCUGGGUUUGCCUUGUUGUUGGUCCAACUCAGUCGGUUCUAAGCUAAGGCAGCUUAGAAAAAACAGGAGUACUAUUGAGAUCUCCCUCUGAACUGGUCUUUUCAAGGAAUAAGUAAGAAUUUAAAUUAAGAACAUUAAAAGCAACCUAUAGCUGAUCAGUCUUGGUGGGGUCUCAGUUGUAGGCUUAAGGCUGCAAAAUUCAGCAACUCUAAAUAUUAUAGGGUUUUGACCUUAAACUGGGGCCUGUUUUCCUAUAGUUCUACGGUUGGCUUUUAACUAGCACAGGCAGCAAAAGCAGAAGGCCUUAGAGGAAAACCAUAUGGAGUUUUGACCUUUGUGGGCCACUGUAGUUUAUGGGAGUUUUGUUCACAGGUGAAUAGCUUUUCCUAGCACUCACAAACCUCAACACAAUGACAGAUAAAACAGGAUGUGGGGUUGACUUGUUAAACAUAUGUGAUCUGUGUUCAGUCUGACAAGGAUUUGAUCAAAGGAAAAAGCCAAUAGUGGGCUGUAGGCACCAUGGCUGUAAGGGAAGAGAAGGGGCAUACAGAACAAUUAUUCACUGGUCCAACUGAGUUUCUAAGUGGAGAACGUAAAUAUAGAUGUUAAACUUCAAAUGUCCUUACUGACUGUGUGUGCCACAGAACAUACUGUCUAGUGCCUACUUUUAGACUAGAAGUCACAGACAAUCUUACAUCAAACAUACAUAAUUCUGUCCAUUGUUGCUACUGUUUUGAAGGAAUUUUACAUCCAAGAGAAGGAAAUGUGGCUGGAAUAAUGUUGAAUUAAUGUUACCUACGGAUGCUAGAGUCACCUUCAUUAAUGAUGAAGUUUAGAAAAAUAAUUUCAGACUUUGGAGUCAUUUAAGCUGUGCUCAUGCCCUGCCCCUUUCACCCAAAAAAAGAAUAGCAUUUCAGGAAACAAAGAAGAAGAAAAGAACAUUGAAUAUUAGAAUGACAGAGAUGAAAAAGACAUGAAAUUAGUGUUAAACUGGCUGCUAGAAGAGGACUUAAAAUAUUUGUAUUACAAAAUGCUUGCAGGCACCUAGAGAAUGCAAGGUCAGGGAAGAGCUGACCAGUUGGUAUCCCAAACUACACGGUCAUCUAUGAAAACAUACAUAUAAAUAACAUCAUUCAGACUAAGCUGGUUUCACCUAGGAAUAUGUGUAUAUAUACAUAUAUGUCAUCAUAUACUUACACAUAUCCAUACAUAUUAUACAUUAUAUAUA